rfam:Pristionchus pacificus strain PS312 contig6154, whole genome shotgun sequence.
UCUUCAUUUCCCACAAUCUCUCACCGGUCAGAGAGACGAGAGAGUGUGUGAAAUGAAGAGA